rnacentral:lncRNA from 1 species
CCUCCGAACUGCUGAGAAAUAUUGCAAAAAUGACUUCAGCUGCCAAAAAUAAUGUCGUUUACAAGCAGCUCUUCCUAUGUCUAAGGAAGAACUAGUCACACAUGCGAGUUUUUGCUGGCUUGAGAACAAGCAAGGAAAAAGACAAAUCCCACCUACCCUAGCCUAAAAUACACAGUGAGUCUCAGAACCCCGCGGAAGCUGUGGCUCAUUUCUAAAGGUGCUGGCAAUAUCGAGGAAGACUUGUAUCCACAAAAUUCCAAAUGAGAGUAAACUUGAAGCCUGAAAUUGCAGCACUCAUUUGGUGACCAGGAGUGGGCAAACAGAAGGACAAAGGCCUACAAGAUUAAAUAAUCAAGUCAUUAUUGUGAAUUUGGAUCUAAAUGACCUGGCAGAAACCAUGGAGAUGAUCUUGGAUUUAAAGAGGAAAAACUCAAAGCAAUGUAUUCUGAUCAAGAAAUGGCAGGAAAUGGCAGCUACCUGAUAUGGAACAAUCAACAACUGAAGGUUUAUUUUGAAUGAGAGGUGUUGUCCAACUGCGAGACGGAGUGAUUGAAGCUGAGAAUAAAUGGAAACACAAUCAAUAGUCACUCCAGUGAGGUAGGAAAGAAAGCCAUUCCGAAGUGGCAGAGAAGCUGCUUUUUCCUCCUGCAUGCUGCCUGCUAGUGUGGAUCUUGGCAUAACAGACACUACUUGGCAAAAGAUCCAUCCUUCCUUUUCCUAUACUUUGCUCAGCGGCCUGGAAGAUUGACCUCAAAAGCAAAAUCACCUGGAUUUCCUUGCCAUUUGGCUUUCAAAUGUGCUCAGCCAAUGACAGGCUGGAAAGAAAUUGACAGCUGGGAAAAGAGGAAGAUUUGUGUACAAGAUCCCUUCCACUCCCAUCUCAUUACCUGCCAUGGUCCUAGCAGUGGCUGUUCUUAUUAUGGCCACAACUACUCUUGGACAGGCCAACAUCCACAACUCCAUCCUUCAACUAGGCUUCAUUAACACUGUCCCUCACCCUUAUCUCUUUCUGGGUAGGGGUGAUAAAGGUUUCCUGACAUCAGAGUUCCUGAGUGCCUCAUAUAUUCUUGUUGGUCCCUGAACCUUGCCCCAACAUCAAUAAAAAGUUCCUUCAUUAAAUAAUUUUCAGUUGAAUCUUUCGUGCUGGGAUCUGUCCAAUUCGACUUUAGCAUACUUUUCGUGCCAAGAAAGUGAUAGUUUCUUGCCAGGAUUUGGCUCAAAGGGCUCACAGUGGGUGAGGGGAUGAGAUUACUUAUUAAGUGAUAAAAUGGAGAUCACAGUGGUUAACCUGCCUAAGAUCACAUGGUUGGUCAACUCAUG